GACGAACGCUGGCGGCGUGCUUAACACAUGCAAGUCGAACGGAAAGGCCCUGCUUUUGUGGGGUGCUCGAGUGGCGAAGGGGUGAGUAACACGUGAGUAACCUGCCCUUGACUUUGGGAUAACUUCAGGAAACUGGGGCUAAUAUCGGAUAGGAGCUCCUGCUGCAUGGUGGGGGUUGGAAAGUUUCGGCGGUUGGGGAUGGACUCGCGGCUUAUGAGCUUGUUGGUGGGGUAGUGGCUUACCAAGGCUUAGAAGGGUAGCCGGCCUGAGAGGGUGGCCGGCCACCUUGGGACUGAGAUACGGCGCAGACUGCUACGGGAGGCAGCAGUGGGGAAUAUUGCACAAUGGGCCGAAGCCUGAUGCAGCAACGCCGGGUGCGGGAUGACGGCCUGCGGGUUGUAAACCGCUUUCGCCUGUGACGAAGCGGGAGUGACGGUAAUGGGUAAAGAAGCACCGGCUAACUACGUG
rnacentral:rRNA from 1 species